UUCAGUGUGUGGAGCGUCAGCAGCUUGAAGCAGCAGUGAUGGAGUUUUCCACUUUUCUCUCCUGUAGCUGGACUCACUCAGAGGAAGCUGCUGUUUGGUCCAACAAUACGUUAGCACAGGAACAGAGCGGGAGGGAGAGACAGAGAAAGAGAGCCAGGGACAACAACAUCACAUUAGAAAGGAUGAGCUGGAUGACACAGUGGUCAGCCUAAUGUAAUGUUUACAUUACCUGAGCUCUACAGGACAACAGACUUCCUUUGCCCCAGUUCAAGAACAUGUUGAACUGUGUAAAAAUGAGUGUGUUUUUCGACUGAUGAAACCAUGUGAUCCAGAUGUAUAUGAACUGUGUAAUAUCCUUAUGGCUGAGUCCCAUCUGACUCCACCAACAGACCCAUAUUAGGCUGUGAACUUGUACAUGCAUCUAAGAGAGACCAUCAUGGAAUUGGUGUAAAACACAUGCACUGCACUGCAGACAACAUUUCUCCAAACUGACCUGUGCUAUAUGUGAGAAACUUCUGGAUGUUAAACAGACUUUGAACUGUAAGCUUUCUAGUACACUGACAUUUAUGAGAAUAUCUUAUAUAUUAUUUCGUUUUGUGUUCUAGGAGGGUCAAUGAACUAAA